rnacentral:rRNA from 1 species
UACAGAGGUCCCAAGCGUUGUUCGGAUUCACUGGGCGUAAAGGGUGCGUAGGUGGCCGGUUAAGUCUGACGUGAAAUCUCCGAGCCUAACUCGGAAACUGCGUCGGAAACUAUCCGGCUCGAGGGUUGGAGGGGGGACUGGAAUACUUGGUGUAGCAGUGAAAUGCGUAGAGAUGUGGAGGAACACCGAUGGCGAAGGCAGCCCCCUGGGCUGAGAUUGACGCUCGAGGCACGAAAGCGUGGGGAGCAAAC